rnacentral:misc_RNA from 1 species
UCUGGCUUAUAGCCCAGCGGUCUCACUAGAGUCCCCAACUAAAUGCUGGUAACUAGUGACGAGGGUUGCGCUCGUUGCGGGACUUAACCCAACAUCUCACAACACGAGCUGACGACAGCCAUGCAGCACCUGUCACCGCGUCCCCGAAGGGAACCCCUACUUUCAUAGGGUAGCGCGGGAUGUCAAGCCUGGGUAAGGUUUUUCGCGUAGCAUCGAAUUAAACCACAUGCUCCACCGCUUGUGCGGGCCCCCGUCAAUUCCUUUGAGUUUUAAUCUUGCGACCGUAAUCCCCAGGCGGAAUACUUAAUGCGUUAGCUUCGUCACCGAGACAAUUAGGUAUCCCGACAACUAGUAUUCAUCGUUUAGGGCGUGGACUAC